GUCCAGCUGAUGAAUUCUAAAUAGGAUGAAAGGCGCGUCCUGAAU
rfam:Schistosoma curassoni strain Dakar, Senegal genome assembly, scaffold: SCTD_scaffold0000389